rnacentral:rRNA from 1 species
GCACCACAAGGCGUGAAGCGUGCGGUUUAAUUGGAGUCAACACCGGAAACCUUACCGGGGGCGACAGCAGGUUGAAGGCCAGAUUGACGAUCUUGCCAGACAAGCUGAGAGGAGGUGCAUAGCCGUCGCCAGUUCGUGCCGUGAGGUGUCCUGCUAAGUCAGGCAACGAUCGAGACCCACGUUCCCUGUUGCUACCAAAGAAAGUUUCCAAGGGGCACACUGGGAGGACAGCCGCCGAUAAGGCGGAGGAAGGAGUGGGCCACGGCAGGUCAGUAUGCCCCGAAUCCCCCGGGCCACACGCGUGCUGCAAUGGCCGGUACAAUGGGUUCCGACCUCGUGAGAGGAGGGUAAUCCCUAAAGCCGAUCGUAGUUUGGAUCGAGGGCUGCAACCCGCCCUCGUGAAACUGGAAUGCCUAGUAAUCGCGUGUCAUUAACGCGCGGUGAAUACGUCCCUGCUCCUUGCACACACCGCCCGUCGUUCCACUCGAGUGGGUUUUGGGUGAGGCGCGGUCCUUGGUGGCUGUGUCGAGCCUGAGGUUCGCGAGAGGGGAA